ACCCCCACCAUUUCCCACUCAGUCCUCCACCUCUAACUAAAUAUGUAAGAAAAAUAAUUAUGUAAUUGUAAAAAAAGGAAUUAUAUUUAAAUUUUUUAUUAUAUUAUUCAUAAUUUAAAUUUAUUAUUUUUUAAUAUCCCUCCACCUUCUCCUUCUCCUUCCCUUCCCCGCCCCCUCCCAUCUCUAGCUAAACUAUCUGAGUAAAAACAAUCAUGUAAUUAUAAAAAAAAAAUUAUAUUUCAUAUCUUUUUUAUAAUAUUAUUUAUAACUUAAAAGAUUUUAAAUAAAUAAUAUAUACUGUAAAAGUAUUGACAAAAUUUAGCAUUUAAAAAUAUCAAUCUAACUAAAAAUUUUAGUAGAGAGUUUUGAUUUACAUAAUCGAGUAUAUUUACUUUAAUAAUAUCAAAGAACAAAAUCAUAAUGAAAAAUAUUACUUACUUGAAUUCAGGUUUGGAUAUAAUACGAAAAGACAUCUAUUAAAUGGUCAUAAUCUGCAUAUAAAAAAUAAAAAUGUUGAAUAAAAAAAGUUUCAAAAAAUAAAGAACAUGAAGAAUGCAAUGAAUGUAAUAAUUAACAAAUAAAGCUA
rnacentral:lncRNA from 1 species